CGACUGAGGCUGCGUCAACGUCUGCAGUUGCUGCUGGUGCUGCAGCUUUAUACUCGUUCAGGUGUUGCUAACUGACGGUCAGAUCGCUGUUGCAGGUGUUGUGGUCGUUGCUAACAUAAGCAAAGUUGAGUCUGUUUUUGGCUGCGCUGCAGUAAGGUUCUGAAAUUUUCUGCUCCAACGACUUAAAGUGGAAUAGAAAUUUUUGCAUUGACUCUAAAAAUAUUAAAAACUAAAAAUCAUUUUUCAAGCUUCCAUUGCGGCUGACGCUGUUGUUGCUGCUGUUGAUGUUGAUU